UGAAAAUAAUUUAUGAUUGGAUAAGCGCCUUAAAAUGGUUAUGUAUUCACCUGCAAAUUCUCUAUCAUUAAUUAAUAUUCGAAUUCUAGAACUUCGCAUUAAUGCGCGCUAGCUCACUCUAUUAACCAAAUCAAACCCAACAUGCUCACUCUGUUUGUCUUUUAACUAGACGGAGAAAGUUUCAGAUGGAGAUCGACGCCGGUGUUGUCUCCGUCAGGUGUCUCACCCAGAGUCCCAGCAAAUGGAGGCCUUGCAGCAGCAAGAACCGAGGGUUGUGCGAUGUGAGUUUGAGAAGACGACAGUGGCAGCAACAAUGUGGCUGAAGGGUAACAACUUACCGGUAGUGACCCGAGUCUCGAAGCAGCGCCGGAGUUGCACCCUGUGAACCCGUUUGGAUGGAUGGAGGGGACUGAUGAUCCAACUAUACGUGAUCUUAGAACCGGUGCUAUAAAACGCCUACCAGGGUUCUCUGGUUUGGUGGCCAGGAUUUCAUCUUGCUUGGUCAGUAUAGAACCAAAAAGUUUCAGUUUUGAAGUGGGAUUGUGAUCGCACAUUGGUUUCUCUGGGGAGGACGAGAAUUUGGCGUGGAAUGAGCUCUCAGCCAUAUUUCUCAGAAGUGGACGUUCUGUUAGAUGAUUGAAACAUGAUGCCUUGUAUUUAUACACACAGGUUGUGGCAUUAGAGUUGCAUUUGGCGUACUUGGAAGGAAAAAUGGUAUGAAGGCAAGUGAUUAUAUCAAUAUGUGUGAAGGCAGGUCUCACUUUGGUUGGAAAUGCUUUUUCUCUUGGUGCAAACAUAAAGUACACAAAUACAAUUAUAUGAACCUGGUGAUUUGGAGAUCGUAUUAGACGAAGAUGAGAUGUCAAAUAUUUGAGGAGUAAUAUUUUUAUCAGGUUUUGCAUUGGACAUGUUUCGAAUGUUAAUCUCUUACUCCAUCUGCUCGAGUUGAUUACAUUGCACAGAACAGGAGUUAACCUAAUAGGAAAAAGCUGUCUCCUUUUCUCUAAUCAUCUGCAUCAUCAGCUAACGUGACCUUACUCAGCCUACUUGGCGACGCCAUGGCAUCGUUUGUUCUGACCUUUCUGUUUACACCGCGCUGGCUGCUUGAACCGUGAAGUGCUCUGUGCGCAAGUGCUUUUCCGUAGUGAUAAUCUUUUGUUUGAUUGCUGACAAGUGAUGGUGAUGGAUCAUUCAGGUGUUCUUGGAUGCCUUCUUUGUGGUUGUGGGUGCAUGUAACCACAGCACUUACUCUCUCAGUAGCCAUUUCAAGAAUGUAACGAUCUGUUGGGA